rnacentral:lncRNA from 1 species
CAUUUGGAGAGGUGCACAUGGUGAAGAAAUGAGGCCUACUGCCAAUGACCAUAAAUGAAGAGAGAAAGAAACACGAGCAAAUAAACAGAACUGAUAAUGCAUUAAAAGAAAAGAUGAAAAAAUAUGAGGCUAUAAAAGAGACGUGUGGUACAGGAUAACGGUCACCCAAAGAUGUCCCCAUCCUAAUCUCCAGAACCUGUGCCUGUGUCACCUGACAUGGCAAAGUGACAGCAAAUGUGACUACCUUAUGGAUCUCAAGAGAGAAGCCUGAUCCUGGAUCAUCUGGCUGAGUCCAGCCUAAUUGCAUGGGUCCUUAACAGUGGAGAGUCGACUGCAGUGGUAUGAAGGAAAUGCAGCUAUGGAAGAAACGGUCUGAGAAAUGGUACAUUGCUGGCUUUGUGGAUGGAGGAAAGUGGUCAUGAGCCAAGGGAUGUGUACUACCUCUAGAAGCUGGAAAAGGGAAGAAAACAGAUUUGCCCUAAAGCCUCCAGAAUGAAAUCCAGACCUACUGACACCCUGGUUUUAGCUCAGUGAGACCCAUGGUGGGCUUCUGAAGGCAAAAUUGUAAGAUAAUAAAUGUGUUAAGACACUAAAUUUAUGGUGAUAUGCUACACAGUGGUAGAAAAUUAGUACAAGAUGAAAAAGAUUUAAAAGGAAAUGACAGAUAUACAUAUAUAGGAAACAGGCAAGGAAGACCCUGUACACAUGGGUACACGUGCAUGCGCACACACACACAGAUAUAUUAGU